rnacentral:tRNA from 1 species
ACUCCUGUAGCUCAGUGGUAGACGAACGAAGUUCCCUGCGCUUUGCGUAGAGCGAUGCACUUUUAAUGCAGCGGUCGCGGGUUCGAAUCCCGUUAGGAGUA